AAUAGAUAGCUUGCUAAUGACUUAUGGGUGCCAAUUGCCGUCCCUAGAGCCAAGAAAGACGUAGUCGAAUUUGGUCCGUGCGUGAAACGAAGGAUAUAGAGAAGAACACGAUGCUCUUCUUCGUUCAAUCAUCUUUAUGACUACUUCUUCCUUACUUCCGUUCAUUUAAUUUCUUUUCAAUUUUGCCUCUGCUCCCUCUCCUGCUCCUCAUCCUCUUCUUACUACUACUCCUCCUAUUAAAUUUCUGAAGAAUAACAGCCAAUCAAUCAAUCAGUAUUAACUAAAAAAAUAGCUCUCUCUCGCUCUGAAGAAGAAUUGAUUGCUAAACAAAUGUCAGGUGAAGCGGCGUCGUCGUCUUCUGGAGUGGUUUUACAAGGACUCGACGAUGUUGAGGAAUUCAUUUGGGCAAAUGAAGGAGAGGGUUCGUUGCCAUGGGACCGAUUCAGUCAUGUUUUUGAUCUUGUGCAAAAUGGAAACAAGGCAUUCCGGGAGAAUCAUUUUGAGGAGGCAAUCAAUUAUUACUCAAGAGCCAAUAACAUUAAACCCGGUGAUCCUAUUAUUCUUGGCAACCGUAGUGCUGCUUAUAGCAGGGUCAGCCAUUUACUGAAACAGAGACCUGCAUCCACUUCUGAGGACACACCAUUAAAUGGGCUGGAUCCUACUAUACAUGCUGAACUUGCAUUGAAGGAUGCCGAGAAGGUAAUAAACCUCAGAAACAAUUCAGUGAAUCCAUACAUCUUAAAGGCCAAUGCUCUUAUAUUGCUGGAAAAGUAUGAGCUGGCUCAGGAUGUUGUUCUUUCAGGUCUUCAGGUUGAUCCUUUCAGCAAUCCUCUUCGUGUUUCUUUACGGAAUUUGGAGAGAAUGCUGGGCAGUAUGAUGAGUAAAAGUCUUGGGAAACCAGAACGUAGUGAUGAAUUUGAUUGCACUCUCUGCCUGAAGUUACUAUUUGAACCUAUUACGACUCCCUGUGGGCAUUCCUUUUGCCGCUCAUGUCUUUUCCAGUCAAUGGAUCGUGGUAACAAAUGCCCAUUGUGUCGAACAGUUCUCUUUAUCAGUCCUAGAACAUGUUCAAUCAGUGUGACCCUAAACAACAUUAUACAGAAGAACUUCCCAGAGGAAUACGCUGAAAGGAAGUCCGAGCAUGACUGUUUGACAAACUUUGGUGUUGAUUUGAUCCCUCUUUUUGUCAUGGAUGCUGUUAUCCCGUGUCAGAAGUUUCCACUCCACAUAUUUGAACCACGAUACAGACUGAUGGUCAGGAGGAUCAUGGAAGGAAAUCAUCGGAUGGGAAUGGUUAUCAUCGAUUCUGCUUCAGGCUCGAUAGCUGAUUUGGCUUGCGAGGUGGAGAUUACUGAGUGUGAACCACUUCCAGAUGGGCGCUUCUAUCUAGAGGUUGAAAGUCGCCGAAGAUUUAGAAUCCUUCAAUCUUGGGAUCAAGAUGGGUAUCGUGUUGCAGAGAUAGAAUGGGUACAGGAUAAUUCACCUGAAGGGCUGGAACAGAGAACCGAAAUGCAGGAACUUACAAAUAGCGCAGCAGAAUAUGCUCAGUCAUGGUUAAGGAGGGCAAAGGAAGCUGCAAGACAAGAUCGAAGAAGACUUGAGAAAUUUCUUAAUGUGGAAGCAAUGAUGCCCAUGCCAUUGGAUCCUGAACGCUUCAGUUUCUGGCUUGCUACUUUAACAGAUAGGAGACCUAGUGAAAGAUUGGAGCUCCUUCGUACAAGGGAUACAACAAAGAGGAUAAGACAAGGACUGGACUAUCUUGGAAAAGCAGAACAAGGCUGCAGGAUGCAGUGAUAAUAGCCAAUGAAGAAGUACAACAAACUUGUGUUGAUUCCAUUUCUGUGAAUGCUACUUCGGUUUCUUCUUCUUCUGGACUCCCUUUAUAUCGCGGCGCUGGGAUUUUGACGGCUGAUUCAACGUGUACCUUCUACUUCACUCGUCCAGGGUGGCAUUGGGUUCGUUUUUACCUUCACUCGUGUUAGGUCACAGUCAAAGCUAUUACGAUUGCUGAGUAGAUAGAAUUCUACUUAUGGUGAGAAUGAACGGCAGUGAUUGACUUUGAAUAAGACUUGCUUUAUUACUGCAUAAUGGAAGAGGUUAAAUACAUGAAGGAAAUAGCAACUUCUCCUGAACACGUAGCGACCUUCUUGGAUUAUCAAUACCCCUUUCUUUCACUGGAACCUUGUCCUCAAGGUCCAUGUUUAUGAACUUAUCGCGCAAGUCCUGAGUAUUUUCCCAAGUAGCAUCAUCUACAGAUUGUUUCAGGUUCCAUGAUAAUUGCCCCAGUAUCAUCAACGAGAGGUAAAUCGGUUGUAGCAACAGUGGGUUCUCCAACUUUCUUUUUCGGCAAUGAAACAUGGAAGACUGUAUGAAUGCGUGAGCCGUCUGGAAGCUUUAUUUUAUAUGCCACCUUACCAAUUCGUUGCUAAAUUUGAUAAGGACCAUAAAAUCAGCUUGCCAAUUUCUGAGAUGGAUACCUAAAGACUGCUUGUUGCCGAUAAGGGUGGAGCUUAAUGAAAACCAGAUCUCCCACUUGAUACUCAACGUCGUGCCGUUUUGAGUCAGCUACCUGUUUCAUGUGAUUGUUAGCAGCAUGUAAAUUCGCCUUGAGCUGGCAUAAUAGUUCAUCACACGAGGCAAGAUUUUGAUCAAUUUCACUGACUGGAAAGGUGCCCAACUAAUAGUGUGGAAUGCUUGAUGGUAGACGCCCAUAUAAAGCUUGAAAAGGUGUCAUUCAUGUGGAUGUGUGGUAUGUUGUGCUAUACCAGAAUUCAGCCCAUGGGAGAAAAGUGCUCCAUUUGCGUGGUUAUUGAUGGAUAAAAAAUCGAAGAUAUUGUUUGACACACCUAUUGACAACUUCAUACUGGCCAUCCGUUUAUGGGUAGUAAGCAGAACGUAUUUUUAGUUAUGUGCCUGACAUCUUGAAAAACUCACGCUAGAAAUGGCUAAUAAAUAUUGGAUCCCGAUCGGUAAUGAUGGGCGCAGGCAUUCCAUGCAACCUCACUAUUCCCUCUACGAAUUUUUCAGCCACCAUUUUUGCAGUAAAGAGAUGAGUUAAGGGUAGAAAAUGUGCUGAUUUACUAACCAAUCGACAACUACAAGAAUUUGUGUUCUUGCUAUUGGAUGAUGGCAGUCCUUCGAUGAAGCCCAUGGUGACGUCGUCCCAAACUUGGCAAGGAAUGGGCAAUGGUUACAAGAGUCCUGCAGGUGAUAGAGUUUCUAUCUUAACUCGUUGACAUAUGUCACAAGAAGAGACAUAGUCAUGCACUGCCUGAUACAUAUAUGGCCAAUAGAAUUGCUGGGAAAGUCAUUUGUAUGUCCGUAACACUCCUGAAUGUCCAUCAACUUGAGAAUCAUGGAAUUCUUGCAAGAGUCGCUUGAUUAUUAGAGAAUUUGGAGGUACUACCACUCGAUUUUUAUAGCACACCAGUCCAUUUCACCAGGUGUAAGGAACACCAAGUU